AUUACCUACGGGAGGCAGCAGUGGGGAAUAUUGCGCAAUGGGCGAAAGCCUGACGCAGCGACGCCGCGUGAGGGAUGAAGGUCUUCGGAUCGUAAACCUCUGUCAGCAGGGAAGAAAAUGACGGUACCUGACUAAGAAGCCCCGGCUAACUACGUGCCAGCAGCCGCGGUAAUACGUAGGGGGCAAGCGUUAUCCGGAUUUACUGGGUGUAAAGGGAGCGUAGACGGCAUGGCAAGUCUGAUGUGAAAACCCGGGGCUCAACCCCGGGACUGCAUUGGAAACUGUCAGGCUAGAGUGUCGGAGAG
rnacentral:rRNA from 1 species